rfam:Moorella glycerini strain NMP genome assembly, contig: M_glycerini_NMP_DRAFT_scaffold-10
GUAAAUGUAGAAUGAAGUAUAUAAUAAAAUUAAUCAGGUUAGCAUCAAGGGAAGCCGGUGCAAAUCCGGCGCGGUCGCGCCACUGUAAGGGGGAGUGACCCCACAUCAGGCCACUGGCCCAGCACUCAGCAAGAUCUCUACCGCUACGGGUUAUCUUCUUUAAGAAGUACCCGGGACGGUGCAACUGAAGGGGCUGAGUGCUGGACUGGGAAGGCGUGGGGGAGCGUUGAACCCGAGCCAGGAGACCUGGUGCUUGCCGUAGUAGCUG